UACGGAGGGUGCAAGCGUUGUCCGGAUUUACUGGGCGUAAAGAGCGCGCAGGCGGUCGUUCAAGUCGCGUGUGAAAGCCCCCGGCUCAACUGGGGAGGGUCACGCGAUACUGAUCGACUCGAAGGCAGGAGAGGGUAGUGGAAUACCCAGUGUAGAGGUGAAAUUCGUAGAUAUUGGGUGGAACACCGGUGGCGAAAGCGGCUCUCUGGCCCGGAUCUGACGCUGAGGCGCGAAAGCGUGGGGAGCAAACAGG
rnacentral:rRNA from 1 species